GAGUUUGAUUAUGGCUCAGGACGAACGCUGGCGGCGUGCCUAAUACAUGCAAGUGGAACGCAUUGAUUUCACCGGAGCUUGCUCCACCGAAAUUAGUGAGUCGCGAACGGGUGAGUAACGCGUAGGUAACCUACCUCUUAGCGGGGGAUAACUAUUGGAAACGAUAGCUAAUACCGCAUAACAAUAGGAUACACAUGUACCCUAUUUAAAAGGAGCAACUGCUUCACUAAGAGAUGGACCUGCGUUGUAUUAGCUAGUUGGUAGGGUAACGGCCUACCAAGGCAUCGAUACAUAGCCGACCUGAGAGGGUGAUCGGCCACACUGGGACUGAGACACGGCCCAGACUCCUACGGGAGGCAGCAGUAGGGAAUCUUCGGCAAUGGGGGGAACCCUGACCGAGCAACGCCGCGUGAGUGAAGAAGGUUUUCGGAUCGUAAAGCUCUGUUGUAAGAGAAGAACGUGUGAGAGAGUGGAAAGUUCUCACAGUGACGUAACUACCAGAAAAGGAC
rnacentral:rRNA from 1 species